rnacentral:rRNA from 1 species
AGGAUAAAAGUCGUAACAAGGUCUCCGUAGGUGAACC